CCUACGGGGGGCUGCAGUGAGGAAUAUUGGUCAAUGGACGAGAGUCUGAACCAGCCAAGUAGCGUGAAGGAUGACUGCCCUAUGGGUUGUAAACUUCUUUUAUAUGGGAAUAAAAUGUUCCACGUGUGGGAUUUUGUAUGUACCAUAUGAAUAAGGAUCGGCUAACUCCGCGCCAGCAGCCGCGGUAAUACGGAGGAUCCGAGCGUGAUCCGGAUGUAUUGGGUUUAACGGGAGCGUAGGUGGAUUGUUAUGUAAGUUGUGAAAGUUUGCGGCGCAACCGUAAAAUUGCAGUGGAAACUGGCAGUCUUGAGGACAGUAGAGGUGGGCGGAAGUCGUGGUGGAGCAGUG
rnacentral:rRNA from 1 species